UCUUGUUAUGGCGGAAAAGAAAGGGUGGAGUGUUGUGUUCAAGGUCUCGUAUAACGAAUUUAAAGCUAAUACAAGUGGAUUUCGUUGGUGUUUAAUGUGAUGUGAUAUUAAUUUAUUACCGCUUGUUUAUUACUAGCAUUACAACCUACAGUUUCUAUAAUAUAUGUCAUAAUUUUAUCACAGAAGGAAGUCGGCAUUUCUUCGUAUUGACUUCUACGGUUUGGUGCGAUUAUCUGUUGAUGGUGUUGUAAUUUGUCAGUGUUAUGUAUACUGGCAGAUUAAAAUAACUUAUUUUGUGACAGGGUGUGUUUAGUUUAUGCGAUUUACAGACGUUAAUGAAAAUCAGGAAACUAAAUAACACACUGGUCAUGUCUUUAGUAAACAAAUAUUCCUUUAUUUAAUUUCGUUAGUUGUGGUGAUUCGAGAUUUUGUUUCUUGAAUUUGUGCGAAGCGGAGAUAAAGAAGGAACAUUUGUAAAAUGGGGAAUAUUUCAACAGAAUUCCGUGGAAGACUUCGCUCCACCAGCGCACUUUAUCUCGUGAUAUGGACAGCGAGGAGUUUCUCUCUUUGGGUUCAGCUAUUUCGGGACGAGCGGGAAAAGCUUUUCAACAACUGACAUCCCUCCCUUGUCCAAGGCACUGCUGAUGUUCGACCGAUCUGUCUGGGUAAAGCGCGCGCUCCAGAACCUGGCCUUGAUGUCCAACUCACUGCUCGACCAAGGUCAAUCCGCGUUCCGGUUCUUCGUGUAGAUCCGGCAUCGAGCUGUGCUGGACGUACAUCAAAUCAUGACCACCUGCGGCACUCUCAGAUCACGUAACAGUUCUUGUAGUCCCGCGGAAAGUUCCAGAUUGUUCAUAGUUUCCAGGGACUUAAUUGCUUUAGGAAGAUGUAAACAAUGCCUGAGGAUCUUGAGUCCCAUUUCUGUUAUUAAUAUCGAUAGGGUUAAAUGUGAAGUAAUUAGCUAACUCCAUGUAACAGGGCCUUUCUUUAGAAACUGACAGUCAGCUGACGAAGAACAUCGCAGAGGUUCAUUACAGUGUUCACAAGAGCCUGUCGUGAACCACCCGUCUUAAUUUUCGACUAUUCUCCAUCUACGCCAAGGACUUACAAUCACCCCCUUCUCUUCAAGUUUUCCAAUUAAAAUGUUGUGUACACUUUUCUUCUACUUCAUGCAUGCUGUAGACUCGCCCAUCUCCUAUUAUUAGAUUUGGUAACCUUAGUAAUAUUUGGUGAAGAGAGAAGUUUUUAUUAUGUAUUUUUCUCCAUAUUUUACCUUCUCUUUCUCAUGAAAAAAAGUUCUUAACAGUACUGUGUUCCCAAACACCCCAAUCUGUGUUUUUCCCUUGGUAUGAGAGAUCAAAACAACAGGCACAGUUGCAGUCUUGCAUAUUUUAGUCUUCAUAGUUUCAUGCUGGAGACGGGAAAUACUGUUUAUUGAUUGUGCGAUUCUCAUAAUUUAAUGCGCUUUGCCUUCUUUGUCUAUGUUUUUAUGGUCUUAUCAACAUUUGUUAGU